UGGGGAAUCUUGCACAAUGGGCGAAAGCCUGAUGCAGCGACGCCGCGUGCGGGAUGAAGGCCUUCGGGUUGUAAACCGCUUUCAGCAGGGAUGAGGCGAAAGUGACGGUACCUGCAGAAGAAGCCCCGGCUAACUACGUGCCAGCAGCCGCGGUAAUACGUAGGGGGCAAGCGUUAUCCGGAUUCAUUGGGCGUAAAGCGCUCGUAGGCGGUCUGUUAGGUCGGGGAGUUAAAUCCGGGGGCUCAACCCCCGUUCGCUCCCGAUACCGGCAGACUUGAGUUUAGUAGGGGAAGGUGGAAUUCCUAGUGUAGCGGUGGAAUGCGCAGAUAUUAGGAAGAACACCAGUGGCGAAGGCGGCCUUCUGGGCCAUAACUGACGCUGAGGAGCGAAAGCUAGGGGAGCAAACAGGAUUAGAUACCCUGGUAGUCCUAGCCGUAAACGAUGGACACUAGGUGUGGGGGAAUAUUUCUUCCGUGCCGCAGCUAACGCAUUAAGUGUCCCGCCUGGGGAGUACGGCCGCAAGGCUA
rnacentral:rRNA from 1 species